AGUGAACGCUGGCGGCAGGCCUAACACAUGCAAGUCGAGCGGCAGCGGGUCCUUCGGGAUGCCGGCGAGCGGCGGACGGGUGAGGAAUGCGUCGGAAUCUGCCUUUUUGUGGGGGAUAACGUAGGGAAACUUACGCUAAUACCGCAUACGACCUACGGGUGAAAGUGGGGGACCGCAAGGCCUCACGCAGAAAGAUGAGCCGACGUCGGAUUAGCUAGUUGGCGGGGUAAAGGCCCACCAAGGCGACGAUCCGUAGCUGGUCUGAGAGGAUGAUCAGCCACACGGGAGCGGGACCACGGUCCAGACUCCUACGGGAGGCACCAGUGGGGAAUGUUGGACAAUGGGCGCAAGCCUGAUCCAGCCAUGCCGCGUGUGUGAAGAAGGCCUUCGGGUUGUAAAGCACUUUUGUCCGGAAAGAAAUCCUGUCGGCUAAUACCCGGCGGGGAUGACGGUACCGGAAGAAUAAGCACCGGCUAACUUCGUG
rnacentral:rRNA from 1 species